rnacentral:rRNA from 1 species
CGGGGCAGGGUGAGUCGACCCCUAAGGCGAGGCCGAAAGGCGUAGUCGAUGGGAAACAGGUUAAUAUUCCUGUACUUGGUGUUACUGCGAAGGGGGGACGGAGAAGGCUAUGUUGGCCGGGCGACGGUUGUCCCGGUUUAAGCGUGUAGGCUGGUUUUCCAGGCAAAUCCGGAAAAUCAAGGCUGAGGCGUGAUGACGAGGCACUACGGUGCUGAAGCAACAAAUGCCCUGCUUCCAGGAAAAGCCUCUAAGCAUCAGGUAACAUCAAAUCGUACCCCAAACCGACACAGGUGGUCAGGUAGAGAAUACCAAGGCGCUUGAGAGAACUCGGGUGAAGGAACUAGGCAAAAUGGUGCCGUAACUUCGGGAGAAGGCACGCUGAUAUGUAGGUGAAGUCCCUCGCGGAUGGAGCUGAAAUCAGUCGAAGAUACCAGCUGGCUGCAACUGUUUAUUAAAAACACAGCACUGUGCAAACACGAAAGUGGACGUAUACGGUGUGACGCCUGCCCGGUGCCGGAAGGUUAAUUGAUGGGGUUAGCGCAAGCGAAGCUCUUGAUCGAAGCCCCGGUAAACGGCGGCCGUAACUAUAACGGUCCUAAGGUAGCGAAAUUCCUUGUCGGGUAAGUUCCGACCUGCACGAAUGGCGUAAUGAUGGCCAGGCUGUCUCCACCCGAGACUCAGUGAAAUUGAACUCGCUGUGAAGAUGCAGUGUACCCGCGGCAAGACGGAAAGACCCCGUGAACCUUUACUAUAGCUUGACACUGAACAUUGAGCCUUGAUGUGUAGGAUAGGUGGGAGGCUUUGAAGUGUGGACGCCAGUCUGCAUGGAGCCGACCUUGAAAUACCACCCUUUAAUGUUUGAUGUUCUAACGUUGACCCGUAAUCCGGGUUGCGGACAGUGUCUGGUGGGUAGUUUGACUGGGGCGGUCUCCUCCUAAAGAGUAACGGAGGAGCACGAAGGUUGGCUAAUCCUGGUCGGACAUCAGGAGGUUAGUGCAAUGGCAUAAGCCAGCUUAACUGCGAGACGGACAGGUCGAGCAGGUACGAAAGUAGGUCAUAGUGAUCCGGUGGUUCUGAAUGGAAGGGCCAUCGCUCAACGGAUAAAAGGUACUCCGGGGAUAACAGGCUGAUACCGCCCAAGAGUUCAUAUCGACGGCGGUGUUUGGCACCUCGAUGUCGGCUCAUCACAUCCUGGGGCUGAAGUAGGUCCCAAGGGUAUGGCUGUUCGCCAUUUAAAGUGGUACGCGAGCUGGGUUUAGAACGUCGUGAGACAGUUCGGUCCCUAUCUGCCGUGGGCGCUGGAGAACUGAGGGGGGCUGCUCCUAGUACGAGAGGACCGGAGUGGACGCAUCACUGGUGUUCGGGUUGUCAUGCCAAUGGCACUGCCCGGUAGCUAAAUGCGGAAGAGAUAAGUGCUGAAAGCAUCUAAGCACGAAACUUGCCCCGAGAUGAGUUCUCCCUGACUCCUUGAGAGUCCUGAAGGAACGUUGAAGACGACGACGUUGAUAGGCCGGGUGUGUAAGCGCAGCGAUGCGUUGAGCUAACCGGUACUAAUGAACCGUGAGGCUUAACCUU